rnacentral:tRNA from 1 species
GCCAAUGUGGGAUAGUGGUUUGAUUGCUGGACUAUGACUCUAGAGACCAGGGUUCAAUUCCCCGUUCAGCCA